rnacentral:snoRNA from 1 species
UUUCAAACUGGAUAACUACCCCCGCAUGAUGUGGCAGAAGCUAAAGUAAAUGUGGUGAGGCUGCCCAUUCUAUACUAGUACAGUA